AGAGUUUGAUCCUGGCUCAGAAUGAACGUUGGCGGCGUGGAUUAGGCAUGCAAGUCGUGCGGAAAGGCCCCGUAAGGGGUGCUCGAGUGGCGAAAGGGAUAGUAACGCGUAGGUCACCUACCCUCGGGACGGGGAUAGCUGGGGGAAACUCCAAUUAAUACCCGAUGACGUCCUAGGACCAAAGGUGUGAUUCCGCCUGAGGACGGGCCUGCGUCUUAUCAGCUAGUUGGUGAGGUAAUGGCUCACCAAGGCGACGACGAGUAGCGGGUGUGAGAGCACGACCCGCAUCACYGGGACUGAGGCACUGCCCAGACACCUACGGGUGGCUGCAGUCGAGGAUCUUCGGCAAUGGGCGAAAGCCUGACCGAGCGACGCCGCGUGCGGGAUGAAGGCCUUCGGGUUGUAAACCGCUGUCAGUGGGGAGGAAAUCUGGGAGGGAUCACCCUUCCAGUUGACCUAUCCGCAGAGGAAGGACGGGCUAAGUUCGUGCCAGCAGCCGCGGUAAUACGAACCGUCCUAACGUUAUUCGGAAUCACUGGGCUUAAAGGGUGCGUAGGCGGUCCGGUAAGUUGGGUGUGAAAUUCCUCGGUUUAACCGAGGAACGGCGCUCAAGACUGCCGGACUUGAGGGAGACAGAGGUGAGUGGAACUUAGGGUGGAGCGGUGAAAUGCGUUGAUAUCCUAAGGAAUAUUGGUGGCGAAAGCGACUCACUGGGUCUCUUCUGACGCUGAGGCACGAAAGCUAGGGUAGCGAACGGGAUUAGAUACCCCGGUAGUCCUAGCCGUAAACGAUGAGCACUAGAUCGAAGGGUACACCAUAGCCUUUUGGUCGUAGCGAAAGUGUUAAGUGCUCCGCCUGGGGAGUAUGGUCGCAAGGCUGAAACUUAAAGGAAUUGACGG
rnacentral:rRNA from 1 species